GGGAGCGCAGGAUCCUAGGCUCUGUCCCCGGUGCCCUGGGAUCCCGGGCCUGUGCUGCUGGAAUCGCGCUCCUGGGGCCGCGGCUCCC
rnacentral:pre_miRNA from 1 species